GGCAGUGUUGUUUAGUGGUUUGAGCACUGGACUAUGACUCUGGAGACCUGGGUUCGAAGCCUGGCUUGGUCA